GUAAAAUGGUUCAGAAAAUUAGAAGCAGAUUUUUUUCGCUCUAUUGAGUUAAAAGGAAUGCCACCCAUUCUUGCAUGAAAUAAUGCCACCUUAAAACCGGCCGUCUCCAUCAUCUAUUCUAGUUCUGUGUGUACUGUGCUUGUUCUGAAUCACUGCUGAAUCACGUUGGCCUGGCCUACAAGUCUAUGGUUCAUUAGAGGCCAGGUGAUUGGCUUUCUGCUCUGGCUUUGCUCUUGUCCCUUUUCGGUGUAUUCUCAGACAAUGAUGAAAGCAUCCUCCAAUCGGAGGACUGUCGUAGGAACAGGGCGGGUCUGACUCUGUCAGAGCCUUUCUAUUAACUUGUUUCCACGCACUGCAUUGAAGCAUCUCCCACAUACAAAACAAAGGGAGACAAUGGGAAAAUGCCAGGGCAGAAACAGCCUCAAACGGAGAGAUGCCAUAACUGGGCAUGAUUGUCCUGUAGAGUAAGAUAACCGAACAUCAAUAGCUGCGUUUAUUUUUCUUUCUCAUAGGGAAGAGGUUAUUAAAACCCGACAAAUACAGGAGAACCGUAAAAUAAGCAAUGAAAAGAAAACAGUCUGACACUUCUUGCUUUCUGGAUUCUGCAGUGAGGAAAAGAAAGCUUCUACAUCUAUACAGAAAGAUCCCCAGUGAUGCCAUUUCAGAAUGCUAUUAAAGAGGAAGAAGCUGGCUAGCAGAGGACUCCAUUUUAGAGCUGAGAAGCUGCAAAUAAGUCCUUUCUUCUUCGCCAAACAAUAUGGUGGAGAUUAGAACAUUUCAGAAGACUGAUAAAAAGGAAUCGUGUAAAAAAUUCUCUUCUUCCUUAAAAAUAACAUAAUGGAGGGGAAGAAAAAUAAUGGACUGAAGAUGGCCCUUCAAAAAGAAUAUAAUGAAGAAAAAGAAA